rnacentral:rRNA from 1 species
UACGUAGGAUGCGAGCGUUAUCCGGAAUUACUGGGUGUAAAGGGAGCGCAGGCGGGACUGCAAGUUGGAUGUGAAAUGCCGCAGCUUAACUGCGGAGCUGCAUCCAAAACUGUAGUUCUUGAGUGGAGUAGAGGCAGGCGGAAUUCCGAGUGUAGCGGUGAAAUGCGUAGAUAUUCGGAGGAACACCAGUGGCGAAGGCGGCUUGCUGGGCUCUAACUGACGCUGAGGCUCGAAAGUGUGGGGAGCAAACAGG